UGACUUUCAGGCUGCGGCCUCAGUAGCAGCAGGAGAAGACUCUAUUGUUUUUGAGGCUUCAAGAGAGGAGGUGCUUUCCUGUUCCAAUGGACUUAGUGCCAGUGGCUGUGUAUAUGGAAGAUACAGAGAAGUGUUGGAACACUCCUGAAGGUCAUGAUGUCCUGUCAAGCAGAGAUUUGCAAAUCUCUUCUGCAAGUAUUUGUGGCUAAUUCUAGCAUCUUAAAGCCCUGUAAGCUAAUAUCUUCUAAAAUGCACUGUGAUAUUUGAAAUUCUACUUCCUACAUUACUCAAGGGAAACAAUGCACUUCACUGGUCUGGCUCAGGCUGAAAUUCAGAUUCUAUUAAAAUGAAUUCAUUCUCUACAGGAG